rnacentral:snRNA from 1 species
AGUUUUAUAUUGUAUACUAAAACUGGAACGAUAUAGAGAAGAUUAGCAUGGCCUCUACCCAAGGAUGACACACAAAUUGGUGAAGCAUUCCAUAUUUAA